rnacentral:lncRNA from 1 species
UUUGGAAAAGGAAAGCAUGAGAAGCACACUACAGAGACUGAUCUAGAGAAGUUAUCACUGUGCUGGGUGGGAGUCAUUCAUCUGUCUGCUCUGGGAGUUACAGAUUCACAUGAAGUCCCAGGAUAGCUUCUGUCGGCUUUGGUGGCCUGUUGCAGCAGCCAGCAGCAGGAAACUUGAGGAGCUAUCAUCUCAGGAAUGAACGGGGCCACAUCAAUAAGGAGACCUGUAAUGAUGUGGCUCUAAAUGUCAGCUUUAAAAGCCUGGGAAUUGAUAGAGGAAGAGAGAAGAAAGGGUGUCCCAGUUUUCCACAUGCCGAAUGAUUCAGCAAAAUAAUGUGAGCAAGUCAAGACUCUGGAAAAUAUUUUUAGAUGCCAAACAAAAACCUGGAGGUAAAUCUCUGCUACACUGUCAGUUAGGUUCUUAGCAUCCAGUUUGAUUUGUUGUACUUUAAAAUGAAUGGAAGAAAUUAUAAGGAGCACAGAUAACUACAAAUAAUUCAAGGUUUGGGAAAAUGAAAUUGAAUAUAAAACUAUGAAAUGUUAUAGUAGCUAUAAAAUCCUAGUUUUUCAGUGUAGAAGAGUAAAGGUUAAAGAAUGACAGAAACUGUCUUGAAAUAGACAAAAGGAUAUAAAUAUCACAAUUAUAUCACUAGAGUAAACUUUAGAUUUCUUUUCCCAACCCAUAUCCUGACUGUCUACCACCAACCACCAUUUGACAGCAGAAGACACUGAGGCCAGGCAGGUGAAGCUGUUUGUUCAAGAACCAGAGUUGUUUCAUGGGAGAUCUAGAGAUUAGAGCCCAAGCAUCCUGACUUGUAGUUCUCUUUCCAUUUCUUAAGAUACAACCAUUAGGUAAUUUUAUGGAUUUUUUUCCCACAAAUAUACCAGGAUCUACGAUUGAUAUGAGCAUUCGCAUCAUUGUAACUGCUUCAGAAAGCUGGAAUAAUAGAACAUUUUAAAGUACUUCUUUUGGAACUAUUUGUAGACCCAAUUUAAAAGCCAGAAAAAGAACCUCACUGCUCUAUAAUUUUUAUUCUGAAAUAUUUGCUUAUGAUCUAUAAUGCAUUACCCAGCUUAAAUAAUAGAUGAAUCCAGCAACUUGUUUCUGAGUGACUUUUUGUCGUUGUUAAAAGUCAAAUCCAUCUUAGAGGACAGAGAUUUUUCCCCAGAAACUCUGAUGAAGGAAGGCUUUGAAAGUAAU